rnacentral:rRNA from 1 species
UACAGAGGGGGCAAGCGUUGUUCGGAAUUACUGGGCGUAAAGGGCGCGUAGGCGGCCCGCUAAGUCGAACGUGAAAUCCCUGGGCUCAACCCAGGAACUGCGUCCGAUACUGGCAGGCUUGAAUCCGGGAGAGGGAUGCGGAAUUCCAGGUGUAGCGGUGAAAUGCGCAGAUAUCAGGAGGAACACCGGUGGCGAAGGCGGGUCUCUGGGCCGUAACUGACGCUGAGGAGCGAAAGCAUGGGGAGCGAACAGG